AGAACCGGGAGCAGCCCCCCGGGGCUGGGUCGGAAGAGCCUGCUGCUCCAUUCCUCCGCUCCGGGACUGGCCCCCACAGAGCGAUCCCCAGCACCCCUCUGUGGCACCGAGAACAUCCAGGCUGCUGCCAGGGUGUGGUCCUUGGGUUUUCGAAUCUUUAUCACCUGAAGCCUCACCAUCUAUCUUACCGACUCUGGGAUAGCCGAGGCCUUCAGCCUCCCAAACCAACCCUUGUCCAAAGCCCAACUGAGGGAUCCCUACCUGGGGACCUUCAGCAAAUGUCCUUAUUGAAGGUAGCAGCUAAGCUGUCCUCUCUGCAGUAAAUCAUGCCUCCAGCCAUCAAUGCCUUUGUGGCUUUGGUCCCUAUAGGACUUUAUGACCAGAACUAUAGCAUAUAAACUUAAUUAGUAAGGCCAAAGUCACACUGAUGUUGAGUCCAAAAAUUCACUUAAAAAUAAUGUAUGUAUUUUGAGACAGGAUUUCACUAUAUUUUUGAAAACUAGGGAAAAAUAUGGUACCUGCACACAUAGGCUAGGAAAGCAUUGUACCCACUUAGCCCCUCUCCCUGUGGGGCUCUGGAUUGCUGUGUGUGUGUGUGCGCGUGCAUGCGUGUGCGUGUGUGUGCGCGUGUGUGCGCGCUACAAAUCUUCACUCACAAGCUCUGCUUGGCCUAGAAAGGGCUAGUGCUAAAUGAAUAGGGUUGAGAGAGAUGCUAUUUGAAUGAGUAAGAGGACCACUGAGACUGGCACAUCCACAGUACCCACACUAGAGUGUGAGCUUCCACUUUAUGGACACAUAGGAUAAGUUACUUAUAGGAAUCCAUUUCUCCACCACAUGUGAUAGCGUCAUAUUUCUUCCACUGUAAACACAUCUCAAAACACAAACCUAAAGUACUCAUCUGUCCCCUAGCCAAGGCUGUCAACCAUUAAAAACCAGAGCUCUCUCUUGAUUUUCUCCAGUCGCUGAGCCUCACAAUCGGUACCAAAAGCAUGAGAUGAAUUAGUUCGAGGAAGAAGACUAAUAAGCAUAGACCUUUUAUAGAUGGGCACGAGGCUGCAUUACUGACAACGGCUGGGUUCUCUAAAAACUCGGCAGCCAUUUAUUUACAAACGCUGUAAACAGUACAAGAUACUUCAGAGGUUUAAACAGUUAAUGUGAGAAAAAUACCAACAGUUCAUGACACUAAAUUCAACGGUUCCUGGUGCGAGACGGAACCCUAGAAACUGAACUGCAACUCUGGCUAAGUGGUCUUCCUAUUGCUGUUCAUCCCCUUUCAUCCUUUCAAACCAGAAAUGACUCGAGAAACCUCCCCACAGCAGCUCUGGGAUUAACUGAAGUCUGUGCAGUCCUUUCAGAUCUUCACAAGGAACUGGCUUCUAUCCAGCUUCCCCUUCUCUUUAAGAAUUGUGAGGACUUGCUACAAUACAGGACAGACACCCAUCCAGCUAUGGGGUAUGACAAGAAGGCAAGAGACCUGGGCUAGCUAUCCAAUCGCUCUGCCCUUCAGGGUGCGCCCGAGGAAGAGAGGAGACAAGGCCUCUCUCAUCACCACUACACUGCUAUAGCUUGUUUAACUCCCUGUCCUUAACCUUCCUGAGAACAGGGUCGGAAGGAUCCUCAGGAGGGCAGGGACAGACUGACUGUCUUCAACGCCUGGCUGAGGGAAGGCCUGGCAGGAAGGUCUUCAGUGAAUAAUGAACGGCAGCCCCAUAGAAGUGACUGUUGAGGAGUGGGAUCUAACACACGUGUUUAUUCAGUCAAUGCUUAUGGAUUGCUUUUGUCAGUUUCACCAUGAAGACCAGGCAGGCCUUUACCUUGACAUCCUUCUGCUGCAGCUCCCAGUGCUGGAUUUGCAUGGAUUAGCAUGACAUUGUGGAAGGGGUUUUCUCCACUAAGGUUUAGUAACUCGUAGAAUACCUAGUAUUUUUCAUAUAAAAUGCAGGAA
ensembl:antisense Gm26770 predicted gene, 26770